rnacentral:rRNA from 1 species
GACGAACGCUGGCGGCGUGCCUAAUACAUGCAAGUUGAGCGCUGAAGGUUGGUACUUGUACCAACUGGAUGAGCAGCGCACGGGUGAGUAACGCGUGGGGAAUCUGCCUUUGAGCGGGGGACAACAUUUGGAAACGAAUGCUAAUACCGCAUAAAAACUUUAAACACAAGUUUUAAGUUUGAAAGAUGCAAUUGCAUCACUCAAAGAUGAUCCCGCGUUGUAUUAGCUAGUUGGUGAGGUAAAGGCUCACCAAGGCGAUGAUACAUAGCCGACCUGAGAGGGUGAUCGGCCACAUUGGGACGGAGACACGGCCCAAACUCCUACGGGAGGCAGCAGUAGGGAAUCUUCGGCAAGGGACGAAAGUCUGACCGAGCAACGCCGCGUGAGUGAAGAAGGUUUUCGGAUCGUAAAACUCUGUUGGUAGAGAAGAACGUUGGUGAGAGUGGAAAGCUCAUCAAGUGACGGUAACUACCCAGAAAGGGACGGCUAACUACGUG